UACGUAGGGGGCAAGCGUUUGUCCGGAAUCAUUGGGCGUAAAGCGCGUGUAGGCGGCUCGAUAAGUCUGCUGUGAAAGUCCAGGGCUCAACCCUGGGAUGCCGGUGGAUACUGUCGGGCUCGAGUCCGGAAGAGGCGAGUGGAAUUCCUGGUGUAGCGGUGAAAUGCGCAGAUAUCAGGAGGAACACCAAUGGCGAAGGCAGCUCGCUGGGACGUGACUGACGCUGAGGCACGAAAGCGUGGGGAGCAAACAGG
rnacentral:rRNA from 1 species